UGGCGGGUAGGAUCGGGGAGCUAGCCCUGCCCUGUAACCCGAAAUGGGCUAUAUGCGGGGAUCCGUCAACCAUCAAAGGCGGUAGCCUGAACAGCCAGAUGAGGUUUCACAAGUCAACAAUGAAAUCCCGUCUCGCAGGGCUUGGUUGGAGACGGCCUCCUCGAAGGAGGGGGUUGAGUCUCUCUACCACCGAAACGGGUCAGGCCGGGAACGGAGCAGCCCUAAGGUGGGCAGCCAAGCGUUUGCGAGGGCGCGGGAUCGAGGAGACUUAUGAAAUACUCGGGCUGGGAUGGUACCCACUUUGAUGGGAUGCCGCCA
rnacentral:SRP_RNA from 1 species